AUUGAACGCUGGCGGCAUGCCUUACACAUGCAAGUCGAACGGUAACGGGCCUUCGGGUGCCGACGAGUGGCGAACGGGUGAGUAAUGCAUCGGAACGUACCUUUCAGUGGGGGAUAACGUAGCGAAAGUUACGCUAAUACCGCAUAUUCUGUGAGCAGGAAAGCAGGGGAUCGCAAGACCUUGCGCUGAUUGAGCGGCCGAUGUCAGAUUAGCUAGUUGGUGAGGUAAAGGCUCACCAAGGCGACGAUCUGUAGCGGGUCUGAGAGGAUGAUCCGCCACACUGGAACUGAGACACGGUCCAGACUCCUACGGGAGGCAGCAGUGGGGAAUUUUGGGCAAUGGGGGCAACCCUGAUCCAGCCAUGCCGCGUGAGUGAAGAAGGCC
rnacentral:rRNA from 1 species